AGUGAACGCUGGCGGUAGGCCUAACACAUGCAAGUCGAACGGCAGCACAGUAAGAGCUUGCUCUUACGGGUGGCGAGUGGCGGACGGGUGAGGAAUACAUCGGAAUCUACUUUUUCGUGGGGGAUAACGUAGGGAAACUUACGCUAAUACCGCAUACGACCUACGGGUGAAAGCAGGGGAUCUUCGGACCUUGCGCGAUUGAAUGAGCCGAUGUCGGAUUAGCUAGUUGGCGGGGUAAAGGCCCACCAAGGCGACGAUCCGUAGCUGGUCUGAGAGGAUGAUCAGCCACACUGGAACUGAGACACGGUCCAGACUCCUACGGGAGGCGGCAGUGGGGAAUAUUGGACAAUGGGCGCAAGCCUGAUCCAGCCAUACCGCGUGGGUGAAGAAGGCCUUCGGGUUGUAAAGCCCUUUGUUGGGAAAGAAAAGCAGCAGGUUAAUACCCCGCUGUUCUGACGGUACCCAAAGAAUAAGCACCGGCUAACUUCGUG
rnacentral:rRNA from 1 species